AUUUUUGAUCUUGCAGGUUGUUAAGACAAAAGGCGAGAGUGGUUUCAUGUUAUAAGAGUUCUUGUUGAAAGGCGAGAGUUAAGGACGUUUUGCCAUGCAGCUUCUUAAACUGCUGAGCUGAAAUAAAGGCAGUUUUCUCCAUCAAAUUCUUUUGAGUUUUGCCUUCCCUGAAGUUAUCUGCUGAUCAAGAUGCAUCUUUCAAUGCUUUCUUUUAAUAUCGCAAAA